ensembl:lncRNA
UGGGUCAUAAAGCCAUCUUCCCAUAGAAUGUAUCGUUCUAUGAUCCUACCUGCCUGGUAUAUUGGGUCAUAAAGCUGUAUCAAUACAGUUGUAUUCAUUGGGUCCUUGUCAACAGCCUCUAAUUUGACUGCACCUGCAGAUGCUCCACUAUAGAAAUACAAAACAAAGCCUCAGCAGCACGUUGUAGGAGUGAUGAACAUCACCCAGUAGUGUCAGUACUGGGAAACAUCUGCUCCCAUUACUGCUGAUCAUUCAUCCAGAUCUCUCUGAAGAACAGAGCAGCACUAGUCUAGGCCUGUCAUGAUACCAAGCAGGUCUACUAAAUGGAACUCUUAUUCCCUACAUAGUGCACUACUUUAGACCAGAACCCUAUGGUUCAUAGUGCACCCAUAGUGCACUACACAGGGAAUAAGUGCCAUUUGUGUCUCCUUCUCUAUACAGGUCAACACAGGGCCCUUCUCUAUACAGGUCAACACAGGGCCUUCUCUAUACAGGGCCUUCUCUAUACAGGGCCUUCUCUAUACAGGGCCUUCUCUAUACAGGGCCUUCUCUAUACAGGUCAACACAGGGCCUUCUCUAUACAGGGCCUUCUCUACAGGUCAACACAGGGCCUUCUCUAUACAGGUCAACACAGGGCCCUUCUCUAUACAGGUCAACACAGGGCCUUCUCUAUACAGGGCCUUCUCUAUACAGGUCAACACAGGGCCUUCUCUAUACAGGUCAACACAGGGCCCUCUCUAUACAGGUCAACACAGGGCCCUUCUCUAUACAGGUCAACACAGGGCCCUUCUCUAUACAGGUCAACACAGGGCCUUCUCUAUACAGGUCAACACAGGGCCUUCUCUAUACAGGUCAACACAGGGCCCUUCUCUAUACAGGUCAACACAGGGCCCUUCUCUAUACAGGUCAACACAGGGCCUUCUCUAUACAGGUCAACACAGGGCCCUCUCUAUACAGGUCAACACAGGGCCCUUCUCUAUACAGGUCAACACAGGG